GCUCCCUUCAGUACCGCCCAGAAAUGUUGGAAUUACUUUGAUGACAAGGUAGCUGGCAUUAUUAUCAAUUCAGAUUUAGUUGAGAUACGUGCAAUUGAAAACAAAUCAUUUCUUGAUAGCAGUAGUGCGGAGAGUCUGCUUUCUCACACAGGAGAAUGAGAGCAGCAGCACUGAGUCAGAUGGAGUUCCACUGAGCUCACAGUUGUCUUUGUGGGUGGCAGCUGCUACAGAAUAGGAGCUGCAAUAUCCAGCUGUGGAGAGCCAUGUGGCUAGCCCAAGCCGUGCUCUUUGGAAACCAGACUGCAUUUCCCCAGGGCUGUGCCUGAAGAUGCCUGAGGAUUGUGAUGGUGUGUGGACAUGUGAUGGAGCCUUGGUGGGAGCUGAGUCUUGGAUGAGGAUGGUGUCUGGAUUACCAGCAGCUACAACAGCACAUGCAGACUUCUUGGCCUCCAAAAAACAGCACAGAACUCAUGUUUCAUCCCAAGGGUCAUCUAAAAAGCAAAGAUGUACAGACCCAAUAAGUGGAAAUGCAUACUUGUAAAGGAUUGUAUGAAAGUUUCUGGAACAGCAGUCUUAAGGCCAGCACCAGCUCCUGUGCAUAGGACUGAAGAGGAUGACUAUCUGCUGUAUGAAGUCCAUGAGUAGA